rnacentral:rRNA from 1 species
UACGGAGGGGGCAAGCGUUGUUCGGAAUUAUUGGGCGUAAAGAGUAUGUAGGCGGCUAGAUAAGUCAGACGUGUAAGCCCAUGGCUCAACCAUGGAAUUGCGUUUGAAACUAUUUAGCUUGAGUGCAGGAGAGGAAAGCGGAAUUCCCAGUGUAGCGGUGAAAUGCAUUGAUAUUGGGAAGAACACCGGUGGCGAAGGCGGCUUUCUGGUCUGUUACUGACGCUGAGGGACGAAAGCGUGGGUAGCGAACAGG